AGAGCGAACGCUGGCGGCAGGCUUAACACAUGCAAGUCGAGCGGGCACCUUCGGGUGUCAGCGGCAGACGGGUGAGUAACACGUGGGAACGUGCCCUUUGGUUCGGAACAACUCCGGGAAACUGGAGCUAAUACCGGAUAAGCCCUUCGGGGGAAAGAUUUAUCGCCAAAGGAUCGGCCCGCGUCUGAUUAGCUAGUUGGUGAGGUAACGGCUCACCAAGGCGACGAUCAGUAGCUGGUCUGAGAGGAUGAUCAGCCACACUGGGACUGAGACACGGCCCAGACUCCUACGGGAGGCAGCAGUGGGGAAUAUUGGACAAUGGGCGAAAGCCUGAUCCAGCCAUGCCGCGUGAGUGAUGAAGGCCCUAGGGUUAGUAAAGUCUCGUUUUGUCCGGGAAGAAUAAUGACUGUAACCGGAAGAAUAAGCCCCGGACUAACGUUCGUGCCAGCCAGCCGAC
rnacentral:rRNA from 1 species